rnacentral:rRNA from 1 species
UGAAUACGAGAUGCUACGGCGUCGAAGCAGUGUAUGUCAGACUUCCAAGAAAAGCUCGCAAUGUCAUAAAUAAAGAAUGCCUGUACCAUAACCGACACAGGUGGGUAGGUAGAGUAUACUAAGGGGCGCGAGAUAACUCUCUCUAAGGAACUCGGCAAAAUAACUCCGUAACUUCGGGAGAAGGAGUGCCUUCUUUAAGAAGGUUGCAAUAACAAGAUCCAAGCAACUGUUUAUCAAAAACACAGGUCUCCGCUAAGUCGUAAGACGAUGUAUGGGGGCUGACGCCUGCCCAGUGCCAGAAGGUUAAAGAAGUUGGUUAGCUUUUGCGAAGCUGAUGACUGAAGCCCUGGUGAACGGCGGCCGUAACAAUAACGGUCCUAAGGUAGCGAAAUUCCUUGUCGGGUAAGUUCCGACCCGCACGAGAGGCGUAAUGAUUUGGAUACUGUCUCGGAGAGGGACUCGGUGAAAUAGACUUGUCUGUGAAGAUGCGGACUACCUGCACCAGGACAGAAAGACCCUAUGAAGCUUUACUGUAACUUGAAAUUGAAAUUGGACUUUAUUUGCGCAGUAUAGGUGGAAGGCGUUGAAAGUAAUCUUGCGGGAUUAGUGGAGCCAUCAGUGAGAUACCACUCCUAUAAUGUUAGAUUUCUAACUUUGGAUCAUGAUCUGGUCAAAGAACAGUUUCAGGGCAGUUUGACUGGGGCGGUCGCCUCCCAAAUGGUAACGGAGGCGUACAAAGGUUUCCUCUGAACGGGUAGAAAUCGUAUCUAGAGUGUAAAGGCAUAAGGAAGCUUGACUGUGAGACCUACAAGUCGAGCAGGGACGAAAGUCGGUCUUAGUGAUCUGACGGUGCUGAGUGGAAAGGCCGUCACUCAACGGAUAAAAGUUACUCUAGGAUAACAGGCUGAUCUCCCCCAAGAGUUCACAUCGACGGGGAGGUUUGGCACCUCGAUGUCGGCUCAUCGCAUCCUGGGGCGGUAGUACGUCCCAAGGGUUGGGCUGUUCGCCCAUGAAAGCGGUACGCGAGCUGGGUUCAGAACGUCGUGAGACAGUUCGGUCCAUAUCCGGUGUAGGCGUUAGAAUAUUGAGAGGAGCCUUCUUUAGUACGAGAGGACCGAGAAGGACAUACCUCUGGUGUACCAGUUAUCGUGCCAACGGUAAACGCUGGGUAGCUAUGUAUGGAGAGGAUAACCGCUGAAAGCAUCUAAGUGGGAAGCCCACCUCAAGAUGAGUAUUCUG